rnacentral:other from 12 species
CACUCCCCUGUGAGGAACUACUGUCUUCACGCAGAAAGCGUCUAGCCAUGGCGUUAGUAUGAGUGUCGUGCAGCCUCCAGGAGCCCCCCUCCCGAGUAGCGAGAUCUGGGCGUCGGAACCGGUGAGUACACCGGAAUUGCCAGGACGACCGGGUCCUUUCUUGGAUAAACCCGCUCAAUGCCUGGAGAUUUGGGCGUGCCCCCGCAAGACUGCUAGCCGAGUAGUGUUGGGUCGCGAAAGGCCUUGUGGUACUGCCUGAUAGGGUGCUUGCGAGUGCCCCGGGAGGUCUCGUAGACCGUGCAC